rnacentral:rRNA from 1 species
CGAUGAAGCCCAGCUUGCUGGGUGGAUUAGUGGCGAACGGGUGAGUAACACGUGAGUAACCUGCCCUUAACUCUGGGAUAAGCCUGGGAAACUGGGUCUAAUACCGGAUAGGAGCGUCCACCGCAUGGUGGGUGUUGGAAAGAUUUAUCGGUUUUGGAUGGACUCGCGGCCUAUCAGCUUGUUGGUGAGGUAAUGGCUCACCAAGGCGACGACGGGUAGCCGGCCUGAGAGGGUGACCGGCCACACUGGGACUGAGACACGGCCCAGACUCCUACGGGAGGCAGCAGUGGGGAAUAUUGCACAAUGGGCGAAAGCCUGAUGCAGCGACGCCGCGUGAGGGAUGACGGCCUUCGGGUUGUAAACCUCUUUCAGUAGGGAAGAAGCGAAAGUGACGGUACCUGCAGAAGAAGCACCGGCUAACUACGUGCCAGCAGCCGCGGUAAUACGUAGGGUGCGAGCGUUAUCCGGAAUUAUUGGGCGUAAAGAGCUCGUAGGCGGUUUGUCGCGUCUGUCGUGAAAGUCCGGGGCUUAACCCCGGAUCUGCGGUGGGUACGGGCAGACUAGAGUGCAGUAGGGGAGACUGGAAUUCCUGGUGUA